rnacentral:rRNA from 1 species
UACGUAGGGUGCAAGCGUUACUCGGAAUUACUGGGCGUAAAGCGCGUGUAGGCGGCCAUGCAAGUCGGAUGUGAAAGCCCUCGGCUCAACCGGGGAAGUGCACUCGAAACUGCAAGGCUAGAGUCUCGGAGAGGAUCGUGGAAUUCUCGGUGUAGAGGUGAAAUUCGUAGAUAUCGAGAGGAACACCGGUGGCGAAGGCGGCGAUCUGGACGAUGACUGACGCUGAGACGCGAAAGCGUGGUGAGCAAACAGG